rnacentral:rRNA from 1 species
AACGCGAAGAACCUUACCUACCCUUGACAUGCCACGAAUCUGGGUUAAGCGCCCGGAGUGCCGAAAGGAACGUGGACACAGGUGCUGCAUGGCUGUCGUCAGCUCGUGUCGUGAGAUGUUGGGUUAAGUCCCGUAACGAGCGCAACCCCUGUGCUUUGUUGCCAUGCCGCAAGGCGGCACUCAAAGCAGACUGCCCGUGACAAGCGGGAGGAAGGUGGGGAUGACGUCAAGUCAUCAUGGCCUUUAUGGGUAGGGCUACACACGUGCUACAAUGGGACGAACAGAGGGAAGCGAACUCGUGAGAGGGAGCGAAUCCAUCAAAUCGUCUCGUAGUCCGGAUCGGAGUCUGCAACUCGACUCCGUGAAGUUGGAAUCGCUAGUAAUCGCCGAUCAGCAUGCGGCGGUGAAUACGUUCCCGGGCCUUGUACACACCGGAGUA